CUGGAUUUAAACUUUGAUAUGCUCCUGUCCCCCAGGCUGAAUUUUCUUUUGAAGUUUCCAUGCAGUUAAUACUGAUCUUGUUCUUAAAAACGUGUCUGGGAUUCACCUUCUAGAUGGUGUCUCUACCACAGACAAUCUUUUGGUACUUUGAAGAUGUUUCCACUUCCCUUCGAAGAUGUUCAAUGUCCGUACAUAGAAUGAAAGGUGCCACCUUCUCCAGCAUGAGACAUAUCCCCAUGUGAUCCCUUACCACGCAGACUCCUGGCUGAGUUAGGAAGAAAGAAUAGAAGUCAAUGCAUUCCAUUUGUUUUCAAGGCACACCCAAAAAGUAUGAACUUAGAUAUAUCACAGAGCUUCCAAUUUACCUGCCUGUAUUUACAAAAUAAGUGUAUGAUUUCUCCCGAAACAUUAUUUUUUGCAAGUUACAUGCCAAUAACCACCACUGAACAUAAGCUGAUAUUUUUGCUGAAUGAAGGAUUGUGAAUUAUCCUUGUAGCUUUCUUUGACUUCAUUACACAUUUCAAUUACUUCUCUAAACACUGACUGCCGCCAUAAAAUAUCUUUAGUUCUUUUCCCCUAUGAAAUGUGCUGCCAAUAAUAAUAUUUUACUAGAAAAUAAUGCAAUAAAUUAGCAUGAUCACAACCUAGAAUUAUAUAAAAUAAUAUUUGCUUUGUAUUCAAGUGAACCUUUCCAUGGACAGAAACAAGCACCUUGUCAUAUUUUAAGUAAACAUUAAUUAUGAAAAACAAAUUAUUUGCAAGGAGGCAAUACAAAAGUGGACGCUGGAGUUCUAUGUUAGAGUAAAUAUCUGACAGAUUUAAUAUGGAACUUUCUUUUAAAGUCUUAAGUUUUCAGUGCUCUUAUUGGCAAAUGAUGUAUUAGACCUAGUAACGUAAAACACAAUGAAAUAGAUUGUAUCUACUGGAAACAUUAGUACUCAUUAGAUCUGAUAACUGUGAGUCUAAAUGUGAAAUCUCUACUUUAUGAAUUAUCACAGAUGGUAUUGUAGAUGAUGUCUUCACGCUCUUUUGCCAAAUAAACUCCUUAUUAAAGGAGGCCCUGAGGAUGAUUAAAACAAAAUUUAGGGCAAUGGUUGCAUUAGAGGAAAGCAAAGGAGGAGAAAAUUAGAGAAGUGCGCCCAGGAGGCAUGAGCAGUAUUCGUAAUGUUUUAUUUCCAAAUUAUACCUUAUGUGCACCACCAUUUGCUAUACUAUUCUUGAUAUCUAUAACAAGAUAUUAUGUGCGGAUUCUUUCAGGACUCAGAAAACGAUGGAUGGCAAGUACUCCCCCUUUCCAAAGUGAGGUGCUGACCACUGGUAAUGCAGUAAAUCUUGAGGGUAUCAAAGGAUUGAAAUGGAAGAGCCCUGAAAAUUGGACAUUAAAAAGGCAUUAAUUUCAAGAGCAUUUUCUCUGUCCUGUAAUUUCC
rnacentral:lncRNA from 1 species